UGCAGUGGCCAUGCCGGAGGGGACACACCCGUUCCCAUCCCGAACACGGCAGUUAAGCCCUCCAGGGCCGAUGGUACUUGGGGAUCACCCCCGGGAGAGUAGGUCGCCGCUGCAA
rnacentral:rRNA from 1 species